rnacentral:rRNA from 1 species
GACGAACCGAGCGAACGUUGUUCGGAUUUACUGGGCGUAAAGGGCGCGUAGGCGGUCGUGACAAGUCACUUGUGAAAUCUCCGGGCUUAACUCGGAACGGUCAAGUGAUACUGUCGGACUAGAGUACAGAAGGGGCAACUGGAAUUCUCGGUGUAGCGGUGAAAUGCGUAGAUAUCAGGAGGAACACCGGUGGCGAAGGCGGGUCUCUGGGCCGAUACUGACGGCUGAGGCGCGAAAGCCAGGGGAGCGAACGGG